rnacentral:rRNA from 1 species
GACGAACGCUGGCGGCGUGCUUAACACAUGCAAGUCGAGCGGUAAGGCCUUUCGGGGUACCCGAGCGGCGAACGGGUGAGUAACACGUGGGUGAUCUGCCCUGCACUUCGGGAUAAGCCUGGGAAACUGGGUCUAAUACCGGAUAUGACCUCCUAUCGCAUGGUGGGUGGUGGAAAGAUUUAUCGGUGCAGGAUGGGCCCGCGGCCUAUCAGCUUGUUGGUGGGGUAAUGGCCUACCAAGGCGACGACGGGUAGCCGACCUGAGAGGGUGACCGGCCACACUGGGACUGAGACACGGCCCAGACUCCUACGGGAGGCAGCAGUGGGGAAUAUUGCACAAUGGGCGAAAGCCUGAUGCAGCGACGCCGCGUGAGGGAUGACGGCCUUCGGGUUGUAAACCUCUUUCAGCAGGGACGAAGCGCAAGUGACGGUACCUGCAGAAGAAGCACCGGCUAACUACGUG